GUUGAUGAUGUAUUUUUUAAUAAAGAAAAAAAAAAAAAAUCUCAUCUGAACUCGGAAGUAAAGCAGGGUCGGGCCUGGUUAGUACUUGGAUGGGAGACCGCCUGGGAAUACCAGGUGCUGUAAGCU
rfam:Danio rerio chromosome 4, GRCz11 reference primary assembly.